GUACCCUUUUGCUUAGCAAAAGCAAAGUAUAUAAAAAGCAAAAGAAUAAAACUGUUUUGUUGAAUACAGUUUAAUGCAUUGUUGCUGCUAAAUUUCUAUUUUGUAUGUUAUUCAUUAAAGAAAGCUUAAGAGGUAGAUCACUAGGUUUUAAAGAACUACUCCUCCCAUAAUACCAGCCAGCCAUAUAGAAACAUAGAAUGUGACGGCAGAUAAGAACCAUUUGACUCAUCUAGUCUGC